GAUGAACGCUGGCGGUAUGCUUAUCACAUGCAAGUCGAACGGACUCUUCGGAGUUAGUGGCGGACGGGUGAGUAACGCGUGAGAAUCUGGCUUUGGGUUCGGGACAACCACUGGAAACGGUGGCUAAUACCGGAUGUGCCGAGAGGUAAAAGAGAAAUUGCCUGAAGAUGAGCUCGCGUCUGAUUAGCUAGUUGGUGAGGUAAAGGCUCACCAAGGCAGCGAUCAGUAGCUGGUCUGAGAGGAUGACCAGCCACACUGGGACUGAGACACGGCCCAGACUCCUACGGGAGGCAGCAGUGGGGAAUUUUCCGCAAUGGGCGAAAGCCUGGCGGAGCAAUACCGCGUGAGGGAAGAAGGCUCUUGGGUUGUAAACCUCUUUUCUUAGGGAAGAACAAAAUGACGGUACCUAAGGAAUCAGCAUCGGCUAACUCCGUG
rnacentral:rRNA from 1 species